GACGGAGGAUGCAAGCGUUAUCCGGAAUGAUUGGGCGUAAAGCGUUCGCAGGUGGCUGUUCAAGUCUGCUGUCAAAGACCGUGGCUUAACCCUAGAAAGGCAGUGGAAACUGGACGGCUGGAGUGCAGUAUGGGUAGAGGGAAUUCCCAGUGUAGAGGUGAAAUGCGUAGAGAUUGGGAAGAACACCGGUGGCGAAAGCGCUCUGCUGGACUGCAACUGACACUGAGGGACGAAAGCUAGGGGAGCGAAAGGG
rnacentral:rRNA from 1 species